GCUCCGCUCGGCUCCUGUGCGGCUGCCGCGGGGCCGGGGCCGGCAGCGAUGUUGGCCGGGCCGGGGCCGGGGCUGCUGGCCUUGGCCUUGGCCUUGUGGCCGGCAGGGCUCUGGGCACAGCCGAGGCUGCAGGAGGCCGGCGGAGGGCAGCGAGCGCCCGGGGACUCUGUCACCCUCUCCUGCCGCGGAUCCGGAUUCACCUUCGAGGACUAUUAUAUUUUCUGGUACCGUCAGGCACCCGGAGGCAGCCCGGAGUGGGUGUCCUUGAUCAGCCGCCCCAAAGGCACUACAGUGGACUACGGGGCAGCAGUGAAGGGUCGGGCCAAGGUUUCCCGGGACAAUUCCCGAUCCGAGGCUUAUCUCUCUUUGCGGUCCUUGCAAGCUCAGGACUCUGCCCGGUAUUUCUGUGCCCUCUCACGGGGACAGGAAAUGCAGAUGAGCUUUAACACAAACCUCCCGGGGCCCGGCAGAGCCUGCCUUAGAUGCUGGGAAGGUGAGAGUGGCCAGGGGCCGGGAGCCAGUGGGUCUCAAGGCUGUUUCUGAGAAGUCAGGUGCCAUCGCUGUGCACCACAGGUGUUCCUGGCCUUUACUGCACACCGCAGGGCUUCUGAUUUAUUGCCAAUAUGAUUUAGAGUAGAACUGUGAGCAAUUACAAAUUGCCUUGCUCCCACUUCAUCUCUGUUUGCUGCCAGGCUCAUCCUCAAAGCUGCAUUCCUGAAUUCUCUGCCUCUUCUCUCCAAAAAGAAGGAGACAGCAGGAAAUUAGGUGUGGGAUAAUUUCUUAACAAUGAAUCACUGGUCUUCAUCUAUACUGCUUCUUGUUCCCUUCCUCCCUCAGUCUGCAGUCCAAUGGCUCCAGCAUGGUUCCUUCACUAGAGCUGCUGUCCUUUAGAAUCAACCCUGUCCAGCAUCGGUUCUCCACAGGCUCCACUUCCCCAGUGUCAUGGCCAAACAGUUUGUGACCAUUUCCAAGCACGGAGACCCCAGGAGGUGCCUGAGCAGCCUGUGCCGGUGUUUGGGCACUUGCACACUGCGAAAAACCAUUUCUCUCUGAUGUUCAGUGAGAACCUCUUGUGAUUUUGUGUUUGUGCUCACUGAUCAUUGUCCUGUCAAUGGUCAUGGCUGAGAAGAGCUUGGCCAGGUCCUCGUGUUUCUGUACACUUAUGACAACCCCAACCAGCUUCUGCAUCUCCCUGGUAAACAGGGCCACCUCUGUCAGCCUGUUUAACUUGGAGAGAUGCUCUGCUUCAACAGAUGAAAAACAAAGAAAGCUGAGUCCACUAUACCGUAGAAAUGAAGUGAUUCUGCCCUA